GGUUUGGUCUUGGUCGCCGACCAAAUUUGGUCUGGGUUUUAGUUUUUGAUCGAUGGUCCGUCCCACUACGCCUAUCCACUAGACCAAAUAUUUGGGUUUAGUCGUCCAUUGUGGACGCUCUCAGGACAGACAAAGCACAUCCAAGCUCCCCCAAGAUGGAAUGGUCGGAUAUGGGCAAGAACUGGGUGUGACUUCACUUCUACCUCCAGCACGAAACAUUGUUGUGAAACUGGUGACUGUGGAGGAAAAAUUGCUUGUAGUGGGAACAUAGGACUCCCCCUGCCACUCUUGUGCAGGUUUCACUACAAGCAGAUACGAGGAGCGUUUGGUUGACGGGUACAACGUCCCAAUCUCUAUCUCUCCGAAAUCAAAGGCUUCCAACUGUUACAUUGGAGGAUGCUUGAAAGACCUCAACAAAAUUUGCCCACAAGAGCUUCAAGUGUUGAAUGGUGAUGGACAGGUGGUAGCUUGCAAAAGUGCAGGUUUGGCAUUCAAUCAUGACAUGUUCUGUUGCAGGAAUGCUUAUGGAAACCCUGAAAAAUGUAAACCAAAUAUGUAUUCCAGCAUGUUUAAAGAAGUUUGCCCAUCUUACUACAGUUUUGCUUUCGACUCGCCUCCACCACUGGUAAGCUGUACUGCUGAUGCGUUUAUCAUAACUUUCUGCCCUAACAAAUGGGGUUCUGAACACAUUUCUCUUUAGAUAUUGAAGGAUAGGGUUUCAUACCCGACCUGCAUUGAGCUUCAAGCGAUUUAUUCAAGUUGAGUUCUAAUAUAACUAUCAUGUGUUGUAUUUUAUGUUUUCUGUCAUGUGUGUUGAGUACUACCAUCAUUCAGUGUAAGUGUAACUUAUAAGUUAUACCAGUUGUUUCAUUUUAUGUAUUAGAUGGACAAUGAAACAGAAUGCUUAAAAAAAAGAAUUUGCCGUGUCCAUAGAUGGACCUCUAUUCGGCAGUCAAUCAAUCAGUCUCUUUAUGGCUCUCAUUUUCAACAAUACAAGCAUGGAGUACAAUCACCAGAAGGGUUUUUGAUGCAAGCAAUUUAACCAAGAAUUAUCUUUUCUGGAAGCCGUGGCCUUCACAAUGAGGGCUAAAGAUGUGAAUCAGGCUGAAGCUCUUGCUGUUAUACAAGCUACCAGAUGGAUUACUAACAAGAAGCUCAGCAGGAUCAUUAUAAAAGGGGACAAUAAAAUUAUUAUGGAAGUUCUUAAAUCAGGUCAGAUGGAAGGUGUUAAACAGGAAGAUAAACCGUUGUUGUCUGAAUGUCUUAGUAUGAUAAAUGAAAUGUCUGACGUUCAAGUUCAAUAUCUAGAAGAGGUAAUAAAGUUGCAGAUGCAUUGGUGAAAUAUGCUAGAACCCAUCAAGCAGCAUUAGCGAAAUGCAGCUUGAAAACUAACUUAUCUCCUCUUACGGGAUCAGUAUGAAAUGCGGCUUGAAAACUAACUUUUCAGUUUUGAGUCUGUCUGUAAUUUCAUAGUAAAGGUCUGUGUUUCUGUUUUUUCAGUCUUUAGGAAUGGUGUUUUUUAUGGCUUUUGCGUUUUAAGUUUAGGCUAGUCAUUCUCAGUUGUGGGUUAAGUUGUCUGGAGAAGGCUUCUAUUGUGUACUCUAGUUUUGGUUUAUCAACAACUUUACAUUUCUUCAAAAAAAAAAAAAACAAAAAAAAAACAAAGAAUUUGAGU